UACGUAGGGUGCAAGCGUUAAUCGGAAUUACUGGGCGUAAAGCGUGCGCAGGCGGCUUUGCAAGACAGAUGUGAAAUCCCCGGGCUUAACCCGGGAACUGCGUUUGAAACUGGCAGGCUAGAGUUUGGCAGAGGGGGGUGGAAUUCCACGUGUAGCAGUGAAAUGCGUAGAGAUGUGGAGGAACACCGAUGGCGAAGGCAGCCCCCUGGGCCAAAACUGACGCUACAGGCACGAAAGCGUGGGGAGCAAACGAGG
rnacentral:rRNA from 1 species